GACAGAGGUGCCAAGCGUUAGGCGGAAUCACUGGGCUUAAAGCGUGUGUAGGCGGAAUUCUAAGUACCUUGUUAAAUCCCACGGCUCAACCGUGGAACUGCUUGGUAUACUGGUUUUCUUGAGCCACUUAGGGGCUGUCGGAACAAGCGGUGGAGCGGUGAAAUGCGUAGAGAUCGGGAGGAACACCAGAGGCGAAAGCGGUUAACUGGGUCUAAACUGACGCUGAGGCGCGAAGGCUAGGGGAGCAAACAGG
rnacentral:rRNA from 1 species